UUUUUAAUUUUGCUAAAAAUUAUUUAAACAAUCUUGGCAAUUAGCUGAAACUAAGUUACUUGAACUUAGGAUCAUUUGUGAGAAUAAAAAUACUAUCGAAUUGCUAGAAAUUUCUGAAGUUGUGGUGAGAUUUAGUUAAACCUAAACUAAAGCAAGUAAGAUAGAAUAAAAGUAAGAGCUAGAAGAGUUAAAGAAUGAGCUUAAGAGCAAAGUAUGCAUAGUUUUGUUCAUAUAUCAUGUUGGAGUUAUAUUAAGCAGUGUACAUUAACUUUGUAGAUG
rnacentral:lncRNA from 1 species